rnacentral:rRNA from 1 species
UACGGGGGGGGCAAGCGUUGUUCGGAAUUACUGGGCGUAAAGGGCUCGUAGGCGGCCCUCUCAGUCGGAUGUGAAAUCCCCAGGCUUAACCUGGGAAUGGCAUCCGAUACUGGAGGGCUUGAAUUCGGGAGAGGGAUGCAGAAUUCCAGGUGUAGCGGUGAAAUGCGUAGAUAUCUGGAGGAAUACCGGUGGCGAAGGCGGCAUCCUGGACCGAGAUUGACGCUGAGGAGCGAAAGCUAGGGGAGCAAACGGG